ACGCUCGACACCUACGGGAGCAGCAGUGGGGAAUAUUGCACAAUGGGGGAAACCCUGAUGCAGCGACGCCGCGUGAGCGAAGAAGUAUUUCGGUAUGUAAAGCUCUAUCAGCAGGGAAGAAGAAAGACGGUACCUGACUAAGAAGCCCCGGCUAACUACGUGCCAGCAGCCGCGGUAAUCUGAGCGGGCUGGCAAGGC
rnacentral:rRNA from 1 species